rfam:Staphylococcus epidermidis RP62A, complete genome.
UUAAUAAUUAAAGCGCCUGUGCAAAAUACCUAAAUAGUUAUCAAGUAUUAAAAGUUAAAAUAGUAGAACUUUUAUAGAUAACGAUUUGGAUUUUGUAGACGAGGAGGAUAGUGAUCGAAUCAGAUCGGCGGAUGCUAUCCCGGAUGUGGCACAUUCGUUAGCUUAUUAAGUAAAUCAUUAAGGUGACUUAGUGGACAAAGUUAAUAAGAUCGCCAAAC